rnacentral:rRNA from 1 species
ACGCUAGCUACAGGCUUAACACAUGCAAGUCGAGGGGCAGCAUCAUCAAAGCUUGCUUUGAUGGAUGGCGACCGGCGCACGGGUGAGUAACACGUAUCCAACCUGCCGACAACACUGGGAUAGCCUUUCGAAAGAAAGAUUAAUACCGGAUGGCAUAGUUUUCCCGCAUGGGAUAAUUAUUAAAGAAUUUCGGUUAUCGAUGGGGAUGCGUUCCAUUAGGCAGUUGGUGAGGUAACGGCUCACCAAACCUUCGAUGGAUAGGGGUUCUGAGAGGAAGGUCCCCCACAUUGGAACUGAGACACGGUCCAAACUCCUACGGGAGGCAGCAGUGAGGAAUAUUGGUCAAUGGGCGCAGGCCUGAACCAGCCAAGUAGCGUGAAGGAUGACUGCCCUAUGGGUUGUAAACUUCUUUUAUAUGGGAAUAAAGUUUUCCACGUGUGGAAUUUUGUAUGUACCAUAUGAAUAAGGAUCGGCUAACUCCGUGCCAGCAGCCGCGGUAAUACGGAGGAUCCGAGCGUUAUCCGGAUUUAUUGGGUUUAAAGGGAGCGUAGGUGGACAGUUAAGUCAGUUGUGAAAGUUUGCGGCUCAACCGUAAAAUUGCAGUUGAUACUGGCUGUCUUGAGUACAGUAGAGGUGGGCGGAAUUCGUGGUGUAGCGGUGAAAUGCUUAGAUAUCACGAAGAACUCCGAUUGCGAAGGUAGCUCACUGGACUGCAACUGACACUGAUGCUCGAAAGUGUGGGUAUCAAACAGGAUUAGAUACCCUGGUAGUCCACACAGUAAACGAUGAAUACUCGCUGUUUGCGAUAUACAGUAAGCGGCCAAGCGAAAGCAUUAAGUAUUCCACCUGGGGAGUACGCCGGCAACGGUGAAACUCAAAGGAAUUGACGGGGGCCCGCACAAGCGGAGGAACAUGUGGUUUAAUUCGAUGAUACGCGAGGAACCUUACCCGGGCUUAAAUUGCAUUUGAAUAUAUUGGAAACAGUAUAGCCGUAAGGCAAAUGUGAAGGUGCUGCAUGGUUGUCGUCAGCUCGUGCCGUGAGGUGUCGGCUUAAGUGCCAUAACGAGCGCAACCCUUAUCUUUAGUUACUAACAGGUCAUGCUGAGGACUCUAGAGAGACUGCCGUCGUAAGAUGUGAGGAAGGUGGGGAUGACGUCAAAUCAGCACGGCCCUUACGUCCGGGGCUACACACGUGUUACAAUGGGGGGUACAGAAGGCAGCUACCUGGUGACAGGAUGCUAAUCCCAAAAGCCUCUCUCAGUUCGGAUCGAAGUCUGCAACCCGACUUCGUGAAGCUGGAUUCGCUAGUAAUCGCGCAUCAGCCAUGGCGCGGUGAAUACGUUCCCGGGCCUUGUACACACCGCCCGUCAAGCCAUGAAAGCCGGGGGUACCUGAAGUACGUAACCGCAAGGAGCGUCCUAGGGUAAAACUGGUAAUUGGG